CACAAGACUGAGCCCUUGUCUCACAUAUCACUGAAUUCCCAGUUAGACUCCUCUGAAGUACUUGCAAUAUCCCACAACUGUUUGGAAAGAUGGUAAAUCUUGGCAGUGUAUUUCAGGGUCUCUCUUCACUGGAGCCUGGGUCUGUUUCCUGAUUGGUCUCACAGAAACAACCUCUUCCUCCUCCUCGAGGCAGAGCACAUGAGUCUCAAGACUGUUGAUUUGGAUGCCACACCAAAUCCACCUGAACGCUGACGAUUAGAGGGCAACUAGUUUAUCUGGGAAUUGGUUCUAGGAAUUGGAAAAGAGAGAUGAGGCUGCCUGGAACAUAGAGGGAAAUUUGAGGAUUUUUGCCUGAAUAGCUUUGUCAUGAAUGAACUUGGCAAGCGGCCACUCCAUGCAAGCGGAGCUCAUUUCACUUUGGUCUUUAAGAAACAUAAAGAUUCCUUGUUUACUUAGUGCCUCUGAUUCCCACUCGAUUGUCCCUGGGGGUGUUAGCCUCCCUCAGUGAGGCAGACACUGAGCUUGCCCCUGCGCCGAACAAGCUCCUGCAGCUGUGGAAACAGUCUUGUAACAGACAGUGAAAUGAUACCCGAUGUGCACUUGCGAUCUUGGAAGCCAGCCAUUUCAUAGAUGCAUGGGAAUCAGAGAUGUCUUCAGAGCUGUCAACAGAGCACCGAAGAUGUCUGCUCUACCAAGCCCUACUCCCCAAACACUCGUAGCAGUCAUAUAGAGCGGGUGGAUGUGAGAAGACACAAAGUCAUGAGUUCAGCACCAAAGAACUACAUGGCAAACCUUAAGCAAAUUUCCAAAACUCCA
rnacentral:lncRNA from 1 species